rnacentral:tRNA from 1 species
GUUAAUGUAGCUUAAUAACAAAGCAAAGCACUGAAAAUGCUUAGAUGG